GACGAACGCUGGCGGCGUGCCUAAUACAUGCAAGUUGAGCGCUGAAGGUUGGUACUUGUACCAACUGGAUGAGCAGCGCACGGGUGAGUAACGCGUGGGAAAUCUGCCUUUGAGCGGGGGACAACAUUUGGAAACGAAUGCUAAUACCGCAUAAAAACUUUAAACACAAGUUUUAAGUUUGAAAGAUGCAAUUGCAUCACUCAAAGAUGAUCCCGCGUUGUAUUAGCUAGUUGGUGAGGUAAAGGCGCACCAAGGCGAUGAUACAUAGCCGACCGGAGAGGGUGAUCGGCCGCAUUGAGAGUGUGACACGGCCCAAAGGCCUUGGGGAAGCAGCAGUAGGGAAUCUUCGGGAAUGGGCGAAAGACUGACCACGCAACGCCGCGUGAGUGAGGAAGGUUGUCGGGUCGGAAAACACUGUUGGUAGGGAAGAACGUGGGUGAGAGUGGAAAGCUCAUCAAGUGACGGUAACUACCCAGAAAGGAACGGCUAACUACGUG
rnacentral:rRNA from 1 species